UAUCCACAGCACCAUAGUGGUCUCGAACACAAAGAGCGUGUGAAGCAAUCCCCGGUCCAGCGCAAAUCCGAAGAGCGUGAUGCCGCCACCGUUGUGUUGCAGGUACAGCACUGCAUCGAGCAAUCCACAUCUCAUAUACACCAUGAACCAAAAAAGACAAUUUAUCUUUGCGUUACCGCGCUCACUCACCCAAGGCAUGUCGGCCUUCGAAGGUGGAAGCCUGCGCGUGCGGUACCGCGCCCCCCACGGAUCCUUCAGGCGAGCCGGAAUCGGAGAUGUCAUCGGAUUCGGCGACGGCUGGCGUCGGCGGAUCGGCCUUGCGGUCUGCGGCUGAG
rnacentral:lncRNA from 1 species